GGGGGCAUAGCUCAGUUCGUAGAACAUGUGCUUAGCAUGUACAGGGUCCUGGGUUCAAUCCCUAGUACCUCCU
rnacentral:tRNA from 1 species